CAUCCACCUUAUUUUUUAUUUUCUGUAGGGAUUGGGUCUUCCUGUUUCACAGGCUGGAGUGGCUGCCAAUGUUAAUUAAACCUUGAGGUCUCCUCAGAGGAUUUAAUUGGCACCAAGUGGAAAGAUUUCAUCUGGUCCAGCAGGAUCACGGUACAGAUGGUAAAACUGAGGCCCUGAUAAUUGAGGUGGUAGGCCUAGGAACACCAUUCUGGAUGCCCCCUGAGCGGUUUUCAAAGCACCCCUAAAAGAGUGCUUUCAAGAUCUGAAACCAGAAAACAGUAGUUAGUUACUCAAGGGAGAUGAGUUUUGACCUGGCACUACAUUCUGAAAAAUUUGAAAAACUGCCUUUGUCUUCUCAGAUCCUUUAAACCAGGAUUUUCACAUGAGGCCUGAACUCCAGUCCAGGGCCUUGCCUCGUGACCUCCAAGGACCAAGUGCACUCACAGAUGUAACCUAGGGCUCUUUCAGACCAUCUCAACCCCUGGGAUUUGCCAGAGCUCUGCACUCAGGGAGCUGGGAUGGAUGAGAAGUCAGGGUUGCUCUGCUCCCAACAACUUUCUAUGGCUCCCCACUGCCUUCAGAAUGAAACCCAAAUGCCUUCCCUGCCUUCUGCAACCAGUAGACAGUGUGGCAUGAAGCCUAGGGCUGGGAUGGGGCAGUGGGCUUCUGGCUUGCCCUUAGGUGGAGGCAGAUCCUUGGACUUUCUGGAUGUUUCCUCGAUGGGAAGAUGUGGGGCCUGGAUGAGGAGUCUCUGGCUACUGAUCUCAGCUCCCCUCAAAGAUCCCUCUUCUGACCACGUCUGCUUUCUUACCUUUCUGCCCUCAUAUGACAAACUCCUCUGUGCCUUUUUUACCCUUAGGGACCCAGCUCAAGUGCCCCGUCACUUCCAUACCCCUAUCAGCCAGAAAGGAUGUGUGUAUGUCUGAGCUCUCUCACAUUUACACUCUGCCUGGUAUCAGCUACCCCUGGACGCGUUGGGUGAUAAAUCCCCUCCUGUGUUCAUCAAGUCAUGGUUAUGAGUGGGGACCCUGGAGCUGAGCUAUCUUGGCCCCAUCUUUGCUCCAUCACCUGCUAGCUGUGUGACAUUUGGCUGGUUACUUAAUGUCUCUGGGCCUGAGUUUUUUCAUCUGUCAAAUGAGGAUAGUGAUAAUGAUAGCUACUUCCCAUGGUUGUCGUGAGAACUAAAUUAAUACACAUGGAGUACUUAAGGGUGUAUGUCUGGGUUUCCUGGAUGGCUGGCCUUGCCUUCCCUAGAUGGUGGGAAGGGUCCCCUCAGAAGGAGCCCCUUGAAUGCUCACCCUUUCUUGGCGAGAAAGGCAAUGCGCCUGGCUUCUGCCUUCUCUCUCAGCACUGCAGGGUCCUGUACGAAAUGGUCAGGCUGUGGAAGGGAGAGGAGACCAAAUCUGGAGUCAGGACCUGGCCCUGAAAACACCUGAAUUUGCCACCCUGGUGUGGGGCAUGAGGGAUCCCAGGCUGCUGCCCCUAUCACCUGAGCAGUACUGCUUUUAUCUGUUCUGUAUGUUGAGGUUCUAGUUAAGACUUCAUUCAAAUAAAAAGUUUAGCUACUAGAAAGUAGAAUUUUCUAAGCUACUGGUUCCAGGUGACUUCCCAGGGCCCUUGGGCUCUCUAACUCCUCUCUGAUUUUAAGGAUUGCCAUCCUGAGCACAGUGCUAGUAACUGCCCUUCUCCCGACCCCUGGCUCCUGGGCCUAAUAAUGAAGCUGGCAGCUCAGAGGCCCUGCCUUUAAUCUGUCCCCUAGGCCCUCACUAGUGGGCAGCAGAAGUGAGUUCUAAGCCAGCAGCUCUCCAAGCAGACAUCCUGGGCUCAAAGGGACUCCUCCUGUCCCCACCAGUGAUACUGGGGCUGCCUCAGGGCCAGAUGCAGGGAGGGUGAGGGGCACUUCUGAUUCACCCUUCAGAACCGCACUCCCUGCUUCAUCUGCCACCUGCCAGGGAGGUACCUUGGGAGCCUCCUCGUCAGCCUCCUCUUCCUCGUCGUCGUCCUCCUCCUCCUGCCCUUCUCUAGGCACUUUGGUUCUCAGCACCUGAGGGAUGGUGAAUGGCCUGAAGGUGUGGAGAGAAGUGAAAUCAAAGAACAGCUAGAGCCGCAACGGGAGGGAACCUGGCUGGGUGAGGGGGCCACAAGAAGGGCUCAUGAGGCUGGGAAAAACCAAAGGGGUUUCAAGCCAGCUUUGCUUCAGCUUCUGGAUUCUCUGAGGUUAACAGAAUUUGAGGUGGGUGUUGAGGGGGAGGCUGAGAUGGGGCCAUGAGUGUCUCCAGGCCUUUCUUUAGUCAGGACAGUUCUGCUUUGACCUGUAUUGGAGAAUCAUUACACGAUUCCACCUGAAAACGUUUUCUUCAAUUAAGAAAAAUGUUGCUUAUAGCCAUUACUGGAGAUAGUG